rnacentral:rRNA from 1 species
CCCUUAGAUGUUCUGGGCUGCACGCGCGCUACACUGAUGCGUUCAACGAGUUAUUAUUUCCUUGCCCGACAGGGUUGGGUAAUCUUUUGAAAACGCAUCGUGAUGGGGAUAGAUUAUUGUAAUUAUUAAUCUUCAACGAGGAAUUCCUAGUAAGUGCGAAUCAUCAGUUCGCGCUGAUUACGUCCCUGCCCUUUGUACACACCGCCCGGCGCACCUACCGAUUGAAUGGUCCGGUGAAAUCUCGGGACGGCGGCUUGGUCGCUUGCGUCCGACUGCUGAAACUUGAUUAAACCAUAUCAUUUAGAGGAAGGUGAAGUCGUAACA